GACGUAGGAGGCGAGCGUUGUCCGGAUUCAUUGGGCGUAAAGAGCGCGCAGGCGGCUUGGUAAGUCGGAUGUGAAAUCCCGAGGCUCAACCUCGGGUCUGCAUCCGAUACUGCCCGGCUAGAGGUAGGUAGGGGAGAUCGGAAUUCCUGGUGUAGCGGUGAAAUGCGCAGAUAUCAGGAGGAACACCGGUGGCGAAGGCGGGUCUCUGGGCCGAUAUCGACGCUGAGGAGCGAAAGCGUGGGGAGCGAACAGG
rnacentral:rRNA from 1 species